GACGAACGCUGGCGGCGUGCUUAACACAUGCAAGUCGAACGGAAAGGCCUGCUUUCCCUUGUGGAUUGCGGGUACUCGAGUGGCGAACGGGUGAGUAACACGUGAGUGAUCUGCCCCCAACUUGGGUAUAAGCCUGGGAAACUGGGUCUAAUUCCCGAUAGGACUGCAGGGUGGUGCCUGUGGUGGAAAACGAUUUUCUAGUGGUUGGGGAUGAGCUCGCGGCCUAUCAGCUUGUUGGUGGGGUAAUGGCCUACCAAGGCGGCGACGGGUAGCCGGCCUGAGAGGGUGGACGGCCACAUUGGGACUGGGAUACGGCCCAGACGCCUACGGGAGGCAGCAGUGGGGAAUAAUGCACAAUGGGCGGAAGCCUGAUGCAGCGACGCCGCGUGGGGGAUGACGGCCUUCGGGUUGUAAACUCCUUUCGACCGCGAGGAAGCCACCUGGUUGGAAGGGUGGUGACGGUAGUGGUAGAAGAAGCACCGGCUAACUACGUG
rnacentral:rRNA from 1 species